GACGAACCGUGCGAACGUUGUUCGGAAUCACUGGGCUUAAAGGGCGCGUAGGCGGAUUCUCAAGUCGGUGGUGAAAUCGUUCGGCUCAACCGGACAAGUGCCGCCGAUACUGGGGGUCUCGAGGGAGGUAGGGGUCGCGGGAACUGGUGGUGGAGCGGUGAAAUGCGUAGAUAUCACUAGGAACGCCGGUGGCGAAAGCGCGCGACUGGACCUCUUCUGACGCUGAGGCGCGAAAGCCAGGGGAGCAAACGGG
rnacentral:rRNA from 1 species